rnacentral:lncRNA from 1 species
AGUGGCCAGGAGGGCAAGUGGCACCCUUCUGUGGAAGUAAAUUUGCCUUGCUGAGAAAUUCUUUGUUUGAGUGCUCAUUUUCCUUGCGACUCCAAGCUCUUAUUUCCAACAGGGAAAUCUUUGACCUGUUUAUGUAACAAAGGAUGAGAUAGAAAGACAGAAAUGCUCAAGGAUGGAAAGAAAAGUGAGUGAGCAAGAGAGAUUAAGAGACAGAGAGUCAGAGUGUAACUUGGAAAAGUGGUGAAGAAAAUCUCAGGAAAAAAGGAGCACUCCACGACUGCUGAGGGUUCAAGAAGAGGACAGAGAAUUGAUGCUGUAUGUGCCUGAACAAGACAAUUGACAACCUUGUUGAGAGCAGUUUCAGUGGAAUAGUCAGGGAGAGAAAACCUGGAUUGGAGCAUGCUAAGGAAUGGAAGUAGAGAUGUGAGUAUCUACAAAUCUUCCAAGGAAGACUUUCUAACUGUUUUAAGGAAAGCACUCAGGGGUGCCCAGCAGGACAGCCUCCAGCUCUUCCAAUCAGAGCUGUAACACCAUUUCCUGAAACACCGUUUUCAACUAAGCUUUGGAGUGACAAAAAUACCUGUUAUCACGGACUAAUGCCUCCAGGAAAGAAAUCCUCGUGAUAUGCAUCUGUCCCCAAUAUGGCCACAGUAAAUCUGAGAGGAAGAAGGCACAGGUAAAAAUUAGGCUUGCUCAUAGAAUACAAUAUUUAUGACUGUUGUUUACGCCUGCUUGUUUUACAGAGGAAAAUUAAGAGCUGUGGAAAUUAAAGACUAAGAUACGCAGCUAGCUAAAAGCAGAGCCUAAGUUCCAGGUUCCUGAUCCACUGCUCAUUAUUCUUUGAAGAAAAGAUCACUCAUAUUGUUAAGGAUUCUUUAGAUCUUAUAUAGAAAUCUACAACAUUUACACCUCUAUUCUGAAUAUUUAACUGACUCUGAAAUAUACAAGGCACUGUGCUGGGCCCUGAGGAAUAAAAAUUUUGUGUAAGACUCCAAAGCUGCACUUAGAGGGCUUGUGAUUGUAUGGAGGUAGCUAGUGGGAAGGAGAUUGGAACGUGUUCCCAAAAGUUUCUAGAAAAAAAUAAUUUAAUACAAAUGUUGUGUGAAUGGAACAGAAAGGUACCACAGGUACACUAAGGGUAAAGAAAGUACUUCCUGAGGGAGUAAUCAAUAAAGCUAAGAUUCCUACAAUUGAUCAAUGUCCAACAGGAGACCUUGGGUUUUUCAAUAAAAGCCAUUAAGCAGCAACAGUGAUCUCAAUCCCAUAAAAGGAUUCCAUAAACCAAACAUUUAGUUGGUAUAGAUAAAUAACUGUAAGAUACCUUAUUAAAUGUCCCACUAUUAAAAUUAAGCUUUACAAUUAUCUACCAAUUGGACAAUGCCACCAACACAUGACAGUAUUAGUGUUCUUGUUUUAUAAACGUUGUCGUGUGUGUGUGCGUGCACACGUGUCUUUGUAUAUGAAUGUGUAUGUAUACAUAUAUAACAAACAGGGGUGUUAUUGAAAAACAUUUAAUGAAGUUAAUGUAAAGUAUUAAUGUCCAAAGCAAAAAAUUAAGACUAUAUUUUUAUUUUCUAGACAGAACUAUGUGUUUAUAUGCAUAAUAAAACUGCUUUCCAAGUGAUGUAAGUUCAAGUCACUUUAAUCAUUCCCAAAUCACCUGCUGAGGUUUAGCAUUUCUUUUCCACAUAUCCCAUCACACUGUGUCCCUCCUCACUGGGUUUCCGCUGCACACUUGGUUGCAGUGAAG